rnacentral:tRNA from 1 species
UGCGGUAUAGCCAAGUUGGUAAGGCAACGGUUUUUGGUGCCGUCAUGCGCAGGUUCGAGUCCUGUUACCGCAA